CCUAGAUCGCCUCCGGCCGCCGCCCUCCAUCCCCACCACGCCCACAUGCCCGGACCUCAGCCGACCACCGCAUCCACUGGCUCGGCUGCACGCGACCGAGACCCCCCUCUCGCAGCAAACCUUGCCGCUGCACGCAGCCGGCCAGAGCCACUACUCCCUCUGCUCCUCAAUUGUCCCAGGUUCGUGCUGCCCUGAUUCUCUUCGUGUUCUAUUUCAGGUUGGGUGCAGUUUGAACAAAAAUCACAUGUUCUUUUCUUUACCUGAUCAACGUCGUCGGGAGCUAGAGCUCGUACAGAUCCUGGACCUCGUCGGGUACGUCAAUGAACUGCUCCUCCUUCAGCUCCUGUCUGAUCAGCUCGUCUGGGAAUAGAAGGGCCAAGGUCGCUGGGGUUCAGCAUCGGCGGCGACUUCAACAUAGCACAAGAAGUUCAUGUAAAUCUACUGCAAAGGUUCAGCUUGAGAGCUAGAGAGAGAUUAGUUGCUGUUGCUACCCAUGUUUUUCUGGUUUGAACUUGCUGAUAUCCGUGGUUGAAGGAAUGAUAAGAGAUGGUCUUCCUGUGUAUCAUUAACAUGAGCAGAGGAUCAUGCUCUCUUGCGUUCGUGACUUUGGAUGGCUUCUGGUCAACUACAGGUUGGAAGUUUAACAUGUGAGAUUAAGUUAGAAGUUCAUCUUCUGUUCGCAUUCAGAUUGCUUGCCACCGCCACGCAUUCCUUCGGAAACAGCCACCUUGCAUCCCACCGUCGGCCACACACGAUGCUACCAACACACUGCCCCAGGCCGAGCCAUCCACCAGCAGACGUGCUGGCUCUGGCUGUGCUCGAGGUCGCCUCGCUCUUCCCUGCUGGAGGACAAGUUCUACUACAGCCAUGGAUUAACAAUUGUCUAUUGUUAUGCCAUCAAGGAGUUGCCCAAGAGCCACCCGAUUUCUCUCAAAAUUUUGGAGAUCAGUAAUUGUGAGGCGCUCAAGUCGUUGCCCAAGAAUGACCUUCCAAGUUCAAUGCUAGAGUUACAUGUCCUUCUAUGAGCAGCGAGGAGCUAAAAAAAGAGAGUGCCGAACUUGCUAUUAAUUAGAACUUGGCUAUUAUCUACCUAUCUCGCUACAUGAGACAUUCAUGUACAUAGACACGGGGAAUUCACAUAUAUCACAAAUUCAUGUAUAGGAAAGUCGAUGCUUUGUGUUUACAUUUUAAAAAUUGUGUUCUCGCCUUCACCAAA